GUAGGUGGCAAGCGUUGUCCGGAAUUAUUGGGCGUAAAGCGCGCGCAGGCGGUUCUUUAAGUCUGAUGUGAAAGCCCACGGCUCAACCGUGGAGGGUCAUUGGAAACUGGAGAACUUGAGUACAGAAGAGGAAAGCGGAAUUCCACGUGUAGCGGUGAAAUGCGUAGAGAUGUGGAGGAACACCAGUGGCGAAGGCGGCUUUCUGGUCUGUAACUGACGCUGAGGCGCGAAAGCGUGGGGAGCAAACAGGAUUAGAUACCCUGGUAGUCCACGCCGUAAACGAUGAGUGCUAAGUGUUAGGGGGGUUUUCCGCCCCCCUUAGUGCUGCAGCUAACGCAUUAAGCACUCCGCCUGGGAGUACGGCCGCAAGGCAG
rnacentral:rRNA from 1 species